UCCGCUGAGGAUGGCUUUUCCCCGGUGUAAUGAGCCGGGGGAAUAAGGAGAGGGCAAGUCUGGUGUCAGCCGCCGCGGUAAUACCAGCUCUCCGAGUGGUAGGGAUGAUUAUUGGGCUUAAAGCGUCCGUAGCCGGCUUAGCAAGUCUCCUGUCAAAUUCAGCGACUUAAUCGUUGAGCCGCGGGAGAUACUACUAGGCUAGGAGGCGGGAGAGGCCGACGGUAUUCUCGGGGUAGGGGUGAAAUCCUAUAAUCCCGGGAGAACCACCAGUGGCGAAGGCUGUCGG
rnacentral:rRNA from 1 species